CUCAGAGCAUCCCCAGCUGGAGAGGUGCCUGCAGCACGUCCGCAAGGUGCUGGAGCAGGCUGCCGAGGUCCUGGGCCGUGCCAGCCAGCCGGCCGUGUGCGGCGAGGUGCUCCUGUCCCCUGCAGGGAUGGCGUAUGUCUCGGGCUUGGCUGAAGUGUACCGGGUCUCUCGGAGAGUGGCGAGCGGGGCGCGGGUCCCGC